GAAGCUUUGUUUUUUCGCUCUUUGCAAUGAAUCUUGCUACUGCUCACUCUUUGGGUCCACGCUGCUUUUAUGAGCUGUAACACUCACCACGAAGAUCUGCAGCUUCACUCCUGAGCCCAGCAAGACCCCGAGCCCACCAGGAGGAACGAACAACGCCAGACGCGCUACCUUAAGAGGUGUAACACUCACCGCGAAGGUCUGCAGCUUCACUCCUGAGCCAGAGAGACCACGAACCCACCAGAAGGAAGAAACUCCCAACACAUCUGAACAUCAGAAGGGACAGACUCCAGACGCGCCACCUUAAGAGCUGUAACACUCACUGUGAGGGUCUGCGGCUUCAUUCUUCAAGUCAGUGAGACCAAGAACCCACCAAUUCCGGACACACUACUGUUGCAGAAGUGUGUCCUUGUCAAGCAUUUACAGACAAGAGUGGAGAAAAAUGGAAACUCA
rnacentral:lncRNA from 1 species